UGUGUGUGUGUGUGUGUCAUUUGGGGAAUGCUUGUGUGUGUGUGUGUAAUUUGGGUGAGUGGGUAAUCUUGGUGUUUGUUAUUAAUUCCCUUAUUUAGUACAGAUGUGUGUGUGUGUGUGUGUGUGUGCAGGAAUACAUUUUAAUAAAGUUCCAUCGAGGACUGACACCAUAAUCUGA